AUCGCUUCUCGGCCUUUUGGCUCAGAUCAAGUGUAGUAUCUGUUCUUAUCAGUUUAAUAUCUGAUACGUCCCCCAUCGGGGGACUACAUAUUAAAUGGAUUUUUCGAACAGGGAGUCGGAAAUGGGGCUUGCUCCGUCCGCUCCACGCAUCGACCC
rnacentral:snRNA from 8 species